UACAGAGGGGGCAAGCGUUGUUCGGAAUUACUGGGCGUAAAGGGCGCGUAGGUGGCCUUCUAAGUUGAACGUGAAAUCCCUGGGCUCAACCCAGGAACUGCGUCCAAGACUGGGAGGCUUGAAUCCGGGAGAGGGAUGCGGAAUUCCAGGUGUAGCGGUGAAAUGCGUAGAUAUCUGGAGGAACACCGGUGGCGAAGGCGGCAUCCUGGACCGGUAUUG
rnacentral:rRNA from 1 species